rnacentral:rRNA from 1 species
CGCGUAGGCGGACCUUCAAGUCGGGUGUGAAAACUGGCGGCUUAACUGCCAGCCUGCACUCGAUACUGUCGGUCUUGAGUACAUGAGAGGAAAGCGGAAUUCCAGGUGUAGCGGUGAAAUGCGUAGAUAUCUGGAAGAACACCAGUAGCGAAGGCGGCUUUCUGGCAUGAUACUGACGCUGAAGCGCGAAGGCUAGGGGAGCAAACA